rnacentral:rRNA from 1 species
GUUGUAUAGUUAAGUGACUAAGCGUACAAGGUGGAUGCCUUGGCAAUCAGAGGCGAAGAAGGACGUGCUAAUCUGCGAAAAGCUUGGAUGAGUCGAUAAGAGGCGUUUAAUCCAAGAUAUCCGAAUGGGGAAACCCAGUAGAUGAAGAAUCUACUAUCAACAAGUGAAUUCAUAGCUUGUUGAGGCAAACCGGGAGAACUGAAACAUCUAAGUACCCCGAGGAAAAGAAAUCAACCGAGAUUUCGUCAGUAGCGGCGAGCGAAAGCGAAAGAGCCAGUAAGUGAUAGCAGUAUAGUGAGGAGAAUGUGUUGGGAAGCACAAUCAAAGAGGGUGAUAAUCCCGUAUCUAAAAACCAUAUUGUGGUACUAAGCUAACGAGAAGUAGGGCGGGACACGUGAUAUCCUGUUUGAAGAAGGGGGGACCAUCCUCCAAGGCUAAAUACUCCUGAUUGACCGAUAGUGAACCAGUACUGUGAAGGAAAGGCGAAAAGAACCCCGGUGAGGGGAGUGAAAUAGAACCUGAAACCUUGUACGUACAAGCAGUGGGAGCCCCAUCACUUAAUCCGAUUGGAAGGUGAUGAAAAGCAACCGCACUUAAACAAUGGUAAGAGGAGCGAAGCGAGUCAAACCACCCAAAAGAAGCAGUGGGAUUAAGUGAUGGGGUGACUGCGUACCUUUUGUAUAAUGGGUCAGCGACUUAUAUUUUGUAGCGAGGUUAACCGAAUAGGGGAGCCGAAGGGAAACCGAGUCUUAACUGGGCGAGUAGUUGCAAGGUAUAGACCCGAAACCCGGUGAUCUAGCCAUGGGCAGGUUGAAGGUUGGGUAACACUAACUGGAGGACCGAACCGACUAAUGUUGAAAAAUUAGCGGAUGACUUGUGGCUGGGGGUGAAAGGCCAAUCAAACCGGGAGAUAGCUGGUUCUCCCCGAAAUCUAUUUAGGUAGAGCCUUGAGGUGACACCUUUGGGGGUAGAGCACUGUUUCGGCUAGGGGGCCAUCCCGGCUUACCAACCCGAUGCAAACUACGAAUACCAAAGAGUGAUACUCAGGAGACACACGGCGGGUGCUAACGUCCGUCGUGGAGAGGGAAACAACCCAGACCGCCAGCUAAGGUCCCCAAGUCUAUAUUAAGUGGGAAACGAAGUGGGAAGGCUUAGACAGCUAGGAUGUUGGCUUAGAAGCAGCCAUCAUUUAAAGAAAGCGUAAUAGCUCACUAGUCGAGUCGGCCUGCGCGGAAGAUGUAACGGGGCUGAAAUAUAGCACCGAAGCUGCGGCAUCAGAAUUUAUUCUGUUGGGUAGGGGAGCGUUGUGUAAGCGGAAGAAGGUUCAUCGAGAGGUGGGCUGGACGUAUCACAAGUGCGAAUGCUGACAUAAGUAACGAUAAAACGGGUGAAAAACCCGUUCGCCGGAAGACCAAGGGUUCCUGUCCAACGUUAAUCGGGGCAGGGUGAGUCGGCUCCUAAGGCGAGGCUGAAAAGCGUAGUCGAUGGGAAACAGGUUAAUAUUCCUGUACUUGGUAAAGCUGCGAUGUGGGGACGGAGUAGGUUAGGUUAUCGCACUGUUGGAUAUGUGCGUUUAAGUUGGUAGGUGGGAAGUUUAGGCAAAUCCGGGCUUCCUUAACACAGAGAGAUGAUGACGAGGCUCUACGGAGCUGAAGUAACUAAUACCACACUUCCAGGAAAAGCCACUAAGCGAAAGGCUUUACUAAACCGUACUGAAAACCGACACAGGUGGUCAGGUAGAGAAUACUCAGGCGCUUGAGAGAACUCGGGUGAAGGAACUAGGCAAAAUAGCACCGUAACUUCGGGAGAAGGUGCGCCGGCGUAGAUUGUAAGGGCUAGCCCCUGAAGGUUGAACCGGUCGAAGAUACCAGCUGGCUGCAACUGUUUAUUAAAAACACAGCACUCUGCAAACACGAAAGUGGACGUAUAGGGUGUGAUGCCUGCCCGGUGCUGGAAGGUUAAUUGAUGGUGUAAUCGCAAGAGAAGCACCUGAUCGAAGCCCCAGUAAACGGCGGCCGUAACUAUAACGGUCCUAAGGUAGCGAAAUUCCUUGUCGGGUAAGUUCCGACCUGCACGAAUGGCAUAAUGAUGGCCAGGCUGUCUCCACCCGAGACUCAGUGAAAUUGAAAUCGCCGUGAAGAUGCGGUGUACCCGCGGCUAGACGGAAAGACCCCGUGAACCUUUACUAUAGCUUGACACUGAACAUUGAAUUUUGAUGUGUAGGAUAGGUGGGAGACUUAGAAGUAGUCACGCCAGUGAUUAUGGAGUCGACCUUGAAAUACCACCCUUUAACGUUUGAUGUUCUAACGAAGAUGACGAAACGUGGUCUCGGACAGUGUCUGGUGGGUAGUUUGACUGGGGCGGUCUCCUCCCAAAGCGUAACGGAGGAGCACGAAGGUUUGCUAAUCACGGUCGGACAUCGUGAGGUUAGUGCAAUGGUAUAAGCAAGCUUAACUGCGAGACAGACAAGUCGAGCAGGUACGAAAGUAGGUCAUAGUGAUCCGGUGGUUCUGAAUGGAAGGGCCAUCGCUCAACGGAUAAAAGGUACUCCGGGGAUAACAGGCUGAUACCGCCCAAGAGUUCAUAUCGACGGCGGUGUUUGGCACCUCGAUGUCGGCUCAUCACAUCCUGGGGCUGAAGUAGGUCCCAAGGGUAUGGCUGUUCGCCAUUUAAAGUGGUACGCGAGCUGGGUUUAGAACGUCGUGAGACAGUUCGGUCCCUAUCUGCCGUGGGCGU